UCACAAAGGGGAGAGUGAGGAAUCUCUGUUUACUAGUAGGAUAAGGGAUCAGUUUGAAAUGGAAGACCUGUAAUUAUGCUGUACAUCAAUAUUCCAUACUUUAGGAGAUGCUUUGAUGCUAGCAGUGCAUACCCAGACAGUGCUGAUUCAAGUUGCUGUGAUGAUACACAUACAUGACAAGCUGGAGCAACACAAAGUUCCUUCACAGAAGCUACAUUUAAGAGCUUUCAGGCCCAAUUUAGAAGAAAUCAGUCGGAACAGAUCCCUGCAAUGCAAAGCACACGUGUGCUGGCAGUUGUAAUUUGGCUCUGCAGCCAUUCUCUCAACAGAGAGCAGGCUGUGUCCUGCAGCGCACUUCUGUAUCACAGCUUACAGAAAAGCGGAGGAAGCUCCAGGAGGAGCCUCCUCAACAUUUCUGUACCUUGUGCAAAGCACAACACGUCAAAUAUCCCCAUGACAAUCCUUUGUGAAAAGCAAGUAGCCUGGAACAAGUUACACUCUUAUCUGUGCCUCGAUCUCCAGCAGAACCAACAUACGCCAUUGUCAAACAAAGCAUCCCCCUGCAUGUCCUGAGAAAACUCAGUGAGGAAACAGGCAUGGAGGAUACAACUGCUCCUCCAGCAAAGAAAGGGGGAACGGAGGGACCAUUCUGUACCACCUUUUGUUUCAGAGCAGUGAGCAAACCACAAACAUUAACAACUACUGCAUUUACAGCAGCUUGCAUUAAAAUACAUAUACAUAAGUCCUAUAGUUUUAAACACUGUUCUUCCAUGGCUCACACAGCUAUACAUGCUAGGGAAGAGAGAAUGGACUUGCGUAGUUGUUAUUAAUCUAGACUGAAAAUUAUUUUAACAUUACUUUUAUUUUUCUAUUAAGAAUAAUUCUUCACAUUUUGGAAUGAACAGACAAGUUUCUGACUUCAGCUUAUUUAACACAAAUCAAAAUUAACAACUGCCAGCAGCUGCAUUCACAUAGAAGUCUGACAUCUACAUUCGGUUUUUUCACAUGGCUCUCCUUUUAUGCUAGUUGUGCUUCUUCAAUCAGUCCUGUUGGGUUUGUUUUACAUUUACAAAGGUUUGAUGUUUUCAUACUUGGCCUUUCGCAAACUCUUAAAGUAUUCAAACCAUUCCCUCCAAGCCCCUUCAGGUGAUGAUCAUGAGUCCUGAAUCACGGGAUUAUUACGCAGUAGCAAUUGCACAAAACUUGCACGAUCAAAUCUCCCUUGAACUCCCAAUAAGACUAAUGAAUUAGACAUCCAUGGAUUAGUAUCACAACUCACACACCCCAUCUAAGGAUGAAUGCUUAACUUGUAGUAAGUGUAUUCUGUAUACUGUCAGAAAAUAAUUUCCCCAUCAUUUCUAUCAUGAAACUGUAGAAAAAAGUAGACCCAUACUUUAGGGCUUCUAAUUCAUGCAAGCAACAUAAAAGGCUGAGAAAGUUUCUUGGCCUGUGGCCAAGAAGAUGGCCAGAGAGCAUAGUAUAACCAGUGAGUAAAAUUUUCUUAAGUCUGCAACUUUGAGAAUUAGAACAUAAGCAGAACAAAGAAAGUCAGGCCUGAAUAAAACGUCACUGAGUAGUACGCCCAACAGGCAUCUUUCCUGUAUUGAAAUGUGGCUAUGUCUCGAGCUAGCUCGGCGCUGUCAGUGAGCGAAAACCGACCUUGGGAGAGAGGCACAGUUAUGCUUGUUGGAAGGAAGCCAUGGGAGCAAGAAGAGAAACUUUAAGAUACGGAGUAGUCUGCAGUGCUUGUGGCCUUGUAGAUAAAGGGAGUUGCUAAGCUGCUGUGUCUGCAAUAGAAAAAAGCGCUAAGAGUGGAAAAUUACUGAGCAUUGUUACAGACUGACAUGUCAGCCUCCUGCAAAGGUAUAAAAGGCUUGUUUGAUUUUAAUAAACUGUCUUUGUGCCUUCGAUCCAGUCCCAGAGUCUGUGCAUCAUACGCCACAUUGACAUACCACUAGAAAUAACUGAAGGAUCCUCUCCUUCCUUCCAGGCUCUUGAGCGAAGCUUUGUACCGUCAGCUUAUAACUGCCUCGUUAUCAGGCUCAUCAGUUCACGACUUGCAACACCACUUUCUCUGGUCUGGCCAUUUUACUUCUGAACAAGUCAAGCUCACUUCAGGUGAUUCUCAUGGGUGUCAAUACAGCCCAAGCUUUCCGGCUUCUUGCUAGCAGACUUUGUCUGUUCCCCAUUUUCAAGGUCUAAAAGAUGUUGAAACUAAGAAACUGGUUUACCUGCACUCUGUGACAGUCACAUUACAGAAUGAGAGAUGAUAUAUACCUUACACACUUUGAUCUCAUUUAAUCUUGCAGGUAAUUGCAUUAUAUUAAAAUAUAUCUUUUUAUAGGUCUUGCUGAGCGCUUUGGCUUCAAUUUUAGAAUCUGCAAUGAGAUCUAGAGGGUACAGAAUUACAGGAGAAAACGCAGAUCUAAAUUCUCACGCAGGGGUACAGACGAAGUCUGAACUGUGCCAUCUAGUCUGAGCCUGGAAUGAAAGGAGAUAGAGCCCACCUAGUACCCUACAUAAACAUCAGGGAUAACUGAGCCUCACUCACUGAUCACAACAAAGAACAAGGAAUCAAAAACCAACAACAACAACAAAAAAAUCAAUCAUGGAUCACAGUCCUCUUUGCUUUUGUUGAUUUACAACUCUCUUAAGAGAAGGUAAUGGAGUUUUGACUUCUAGGUGUAGGUCUGCAGGCAAGUUAAAUGACUUUAAAGACUUAGUCGUGUAGCUUUAAGACAGCCACAAACAUGUCAGGUAUGUAAACAGGAUGUGAAAAAACUGGAACUUAGAAUCGCAGCAUACGGGCACCUACAGCAACAGCAAAUAGCAAGCAAGAAGACGAUGACAGGAAGCCUAUCAGGGUCUGACACAUGUACUAUCUAAGAUAUAUAAGCAAUACGUAAAAAUCAUAAACGCCAUUUUGGCCAUUUUGUCUGAAUCCAGCCCCGUAGAUAUAGUGGUUUUGAGUCAGUCUCAACUUGCAUCAGGGCAGAUCCUGAGACUGUGACCAGUGGGUUACUGGGGAGACAGAGCCUGGUGAAGAGGAGUAGCACAGCGGGCAGCUGCUAGAUGCCGGGAGAACGUGACACCAGUAAGCAUCAACCUAAGUUUGGUAGCAGUUCUGAGGACAAGGACAACAAGCAGAAACCUUGGCGGACCGAUCCCAGCCCCCCUGAGUUCCGCUGACAUUUGUGCCGGCCAACAUUUCCUCCUCCCUCUGCUUCUUCUCCCCUCCUGCCUGCCCCCUCUGUUCCUCCCCUGCCCCCGCACGAUGGAAAUGCCAAAAAUCCGGAAUCGUGUCCAGCUACGACAAGGUUAUCAGUCAGAGGCAGUGAGGAAUGUGGAGGUGGUAUAAAUCCAGUAUCCAGCAUUACGGUAAUGCCACACGACCCUCGGCAAUUUUGGCAGGCUGUAAAAGAUGAGGCACUAAAAGAGGGAAACUGAGAUUUAGUAGAACAGAUAGGCAGACCACUCCUUGAUGUUCCUACUCCUUCCACCACUGCGCUGCAUCCCGUACCCUGUUAUAACAGGAGAUAUGGCUGCUGGUAACCUUAACGUUCAUGUACCGUUUGCUUCGAAAAUAGUGCAGGACUUGCAUAAAACUGUUUCUCAGCACGGGGUGAAUUCGCCGGCUCUAAUGCAAUUGUUGCGCUUGCUCACCACGCACACUUUGUCCCCUUUCGGUAUUUCCCAGCUGGCGCGGAUCAUGCGCCACCCUGCGCAACUGGCGGUCUUCCACGCCACCUGGCGGGCAGCCGCGGAACAGCAGGCGCUGCACAACAGAAACCUUCCGCGAGCCGAUGCCCGGGCUGGCCCAGGGCCUGACGCGCUGACGGGCACCGGGCAGUAUUGCCAGCCCUCGGCAGCGGGCUCGGUGGCCCACCCCAGUAUUAGAUCAAAUAAAAAAUAUAGGCAUGCAAGCAAUAACGAAAACCGCGCAACUAGCGGAGCCAAAAAAAGAGUUAUACAACAAUUAAGCAAGGCCCCAAAGAACCAUUUUUGCCGCUUGUGGAAAAGUUGCAACAUGCUGUUGCCUCUCAAGUGUUUGACCCUCACUGGCGUGCCAUGCUAGUAAGGCAAUUAGCCAAAGAUAAUGCCAAUGCUGAUUGUCAAAAAGUAAUAGAAGGAUUGCCAGGAGAACCCAGUUUAGAAACUAUGCGAUCAGCCCGUGCCAAGGUAGGUACCUUGGAACACAAGCUAGCAGUAAUGGCUGCUGCGGAAAUGCAACGUUACUCUUGCGGUAAGUCAGGACACUGUAAACGGGACUGCCCCUCCAAAAAACAAUGCGUGGCACAACCCAGACUGUCCCCGGCAGAAAUUACUUGUUUCUGCUGUAGAAAGGUCAUUUUGCAAAGCAAUGUCAUUCUGAUUUCGAUAAAGAAGGAUUCCGCCUAGCAGGCCAGGGAAAAGCUCACAAGAGCGCGAGGAGGCGCACGCCGCCACACCAACCGGCCACAAAACAUCCAAGUCCACAUUGAUGUUACUGAUGUAGAAUCUACAGGUGAAGUAUGUGCCUUGGUUUCUACACCUGUGCCUCCUGCUACAAUCCCAAAAAAUAGACACCUUGCUCAACUUGUGCCUUUUGUGAGUUGUUCCCUGAACAGAGCCCGCAUGGCGGGGUGAUGAAGGAUUCGGCUCCACAGGAAUACCUCCAGUGUGUUGGACACAAGGACUAUCUCCACAAGGACUCAACCUGACCUGCACUCUGGCAUUAUCGGGAGGCACUCCUGCACAAGGGAAGUUGAGUGGCCUUCUGGAUACCGGAGCAGACACAACUGUUGUAUCAAGCAAGGACCGGCCACCUCCAUGGCCCCUGGUAAAUAACGUAGCGGGAGGCGUAGGUCUGGGGGGCAUGACUACUAGCUGCUUGUCUGUGAAACCUGCACAGAUCAAAACACAAGAAGGACAGACUGCCAACGUCCACCGCGCCACUGGCUUUGUGGGGCUGAGAUUGUUUAGGACAAUGGGGAGUUGGGUUUUAACCACCGAUUUUUAACUGGGGCCACUGUACUGCAGCAGUGAAGCCCCCUACCCUUGGGGUCUGCUUGGUUAACUGACACACCGGUAUGGGUAGGUCAGUGGCCCCUGCCCCAGGAAAGGCUGUGUGCCCUGCAUGAAUUACUUAAGGAACAAUUAGACACAGGCCACAUCGAAGAAUCACAUAGCCCAUGGAACACCCCUGUAUUUGUGAUAAAAAAGAAGUAAAGGGCGAUUGUUGCAUGACCUGUGUAAAGCCAAUGCAGUGAUGGCCCCUACGGGGGCCUUGCAGCCGGGAUUUCCAUCUGCCACCAUGAUACCAAUGGAGUGGGACAUUUUAUUGAUCUGGAAGAUUGGGUUUUUACCUUUUCCUUUACAGUACCAACUAGAAAUAACUCUGAGCCCACAAAAAGGUACCACGGGACUGCAGUGCCUCAAGGCGUGAGAAACUCGCCAACCGUUUCUCAGUGGUUUGUAGCCCAAGCCCUGAGCUCAGCCAGAGACAAAUACAGAGAUGUUUACUGUUAUCAUGACAUGGAUGACACUUUGCUAGCAGCACCAUCCAAAAGAGCUGCUGGAGACAGGUGAGAAGGAUGCCAGACAUACGUUUAGCAGAAUUUGGAUUGAUUGUAGCUCCUGAAAAAUUUCAGAGACAAGAGCCCUGGAAAUAUCUGGGCAUGAAUGUGCUGAAGAGAACUGUCUCUCCACAGCCUAUCCAAUUGAAACUGGAUGUAAAGACCUUGAAUGAUGUCCAAAAGCUUGCAUGAAUGCUGAAUUAGCUAUGGCCUUUUUUAGGCCUUACUAUGAACAAAUGCAACUACCUUUGCAACUUUAAAAAGGAGACACAGAUCUUUCAGGCCCAAGGCAUUUAACGGCUGCAGCCUUGGCACUUGUGAAAGAAGUUGAACAGUCGAUCUCUGCACGACAUGUGUGGCGUGUAGAUACCACACUUCCUUUAAGUGGUUUUAUUUUAAUGGAACGAUCCUCUCCUUAUACUACGUUGGUCCAGUGGAACCAAGCUGGGGAAGAUCCACUGCAUGUGCCUGAACGGUUGGUUUUGCCUUUGCAGUCUAAGAAAACUGUUGUUGGAUGGUACGAAUGUGUUGCCAAUUUGAUCAUAAAAAUCCAAAAAUGAUGUUCAGAGUUGAGUAGAGUUGAUCCAUCAGCUGUGAUUAUCCCUGUACAACAAUUCUAUUUUGAAUAGGCUCUGUCAAACUCUACUGCCCUUCAAGUGGCUCUUGCCAAUUUUCAAGGGCAAGUUCAGUACCAUCAUCCACUUUUGAAAAUGACUGUAGAUCUCACUUUGCAGCCACGGCAACUAAGUCAGAGACGACCAGUCAAAGGUGACACAGUGUUUACAGACGGGUCUGGAAAAACUGGAAAAGCUGCAGUCACUUGGAAACAGAAUGGGCAAUGGCAUUCCCAAAUUGCGUAUCAGGAAGGAUCCCCGCAAGUCGUAGGGGAUCCAAGGGCUGCGGCCUUGGCAUUUCAUUACUUCCCAGGCCCUCUUAAUCUUGUUACUGAUUCAGCCUGUGUGGCAGCCCUCCUUCCCAAGUUAGAGAUGGCUGUCCUUGGCCAUGUCAACAAUCCCAAGCUUUUUACAGUUUUGACUUUAGUUUGGGAAGAAAUUCAGAAAUGCCAUUCUCCAUUUUAUGUUAUGCAUGUUAACAGCCAGACUUCCCUACCCGGUUUUGGAAUUGAAGGCAGUGCUAGAGUUGAUGCUCUAGUUUCUGUGGCUCUGUCAGUACCCGUUCCUGAUGCCCACCAGCAGGCUGUGUUAGCCCACCAAUUCUAUCAUCAGAACUGGUGAUCCUUGUAUAUCAA